ensembl:lncRNA
GUCUCCAUAGCGAACCGCGCAUGCGCAGUGCGCGCCGGCGGCCGCCAUCUUGGGGCCUGGCCGCCAUUUUGGGUCGAUUCGGGGCAGUUUUGGGUUUUUGGGGUUAAAAAAGAGCAAUUUUGGAGGCACGGGUCGCCGUCUCGGGUUGUGGGUGGGGGUUUGGGGGCGGUCGGGACGUUAUGGGGGUGAAUUAAAGCCGUUUUGAGGUUAUUUGACUCCUUUUUGGUGCUGGAAUCCGUUUUGGGUCCAAAAAUGCCAUUUUUGGGCAAAUUACCCAAUUUUGGUAACCAUGGAUCCAUUUUAGGCCCCAAAAUACCAUUUUUUGGGAACCAGAAUCCAUUUUGGGGUCCAAAAUACCAUUUUUUGGGGUCAUUUUGUCCCUUUUUGGUGCUGGAAUCCAUUUUAGGCCCAAAAAUGCCAUUUUUGAGGUAAAUUCCUCCAUUUUUGGGUCAAAAAAUGCCAUUUUUGGGGUCAUUUUGCCCCUUUUUGGUUCUGGAAUCCAUUUUGGGUCCAAAAAUGCCAUUUUUGAGGUAAAUUAUUCCAUUUUUGGGUCAAAAAAUGCCAUUUUUGGGGGUCAUUUUAUCCCUUUUUGGUGCUGGAAUCCAUUUUAGACCCCAAAAAUGCCAUUUUUGAGGUAAUUUUCUCCAUUUUAGGUCAAAAAUGCCAUUUUUGGGGGUCAUUUUUCCCUUUUUGGUGCUGGAAUCCAUUUUAGGCCCCAAAAAUGCCAUUUUUGAGGUAAAUUCCUCCAUUUUGGGUCAAAAAUGCCAUUUUGGGGGGUCAUUUUGUCCCUUUUUGGUGCUGGAAUCCAUUUUAGGCCCCAAAAAUGCCAUUUUUGAGGUAAAUUCCUCCAUUUUGGGUCCAAAAAUGCCAUUUUUGAGGUCAUUCGUUCCCAUUUUUGGUGCUGGAAUCCAUUUUAGGCCCCAAAAAUGCCAUUUUUGAGGUAAAUUCCUCCAUUUUUGGGUCAAAAAAUGCCAUUUUGGGGGGUCAUUUUGCCCCUUUUUGGUGCUGGAAUCCAUUUUAGGCCCCAAAAUGCCAUUUUUGAGGUAAAUUCCUCCAUUUUGGGUCCAAAAAUGCCAUUUUUGGGGUCAUUCGUUCCCAUUUUUGGGGGUGAAUUCCUCCAUUUUGGUUCUGAAAAAUGCCAUUUUUGGGUCAUUCGUUCCCAUUUUUUUCGCACCAAACCCCAUUUUGAGUCCAAAAAUGCCAUUUUUGGGCAUAAAUCCCUCCAUUUUGGGUCCAAAAAUGCCAUUUUUGGGUCAUUUGGUCCCAUUUUUUGGGGUACAAAACCCCAUUUUUAGUCCAAAAAUGCCAUUUUUGGGUCAUUCGUUCCCAUUUUUUUCGCACCGAACCCCAUUUUGAGUCCAAAAAUGGCAUUUUUGGGCAUAAAUCCCUCCAUUUUGGGUCGAAAAAUGCCAUUUUUGGGGUGAAUUCCUCCAUUUUGGGUCCAGAAAUGCCAUUUUGGGGGUAAAUUCCUCCAUUUUGGGUCCAAAAAUGCCAUUUUUGGGGUCAUUCGUUCCCAUUUUUGGGGGUGAAUUCCUCCAUUUUGGUUUCGAAAAAUACCAUUUUUAGGUCAUUUGUUCCCAUUUUUUCCGCACCAAAACCCAUUUUGGGUCCAAAAAUGGCACUUCGGGGUCAUUCGGUCCCAUUUUUGGGGUGAAUUCCUCCAUUUUGAGUCCAAAAAAUGCCAUUUUUGGGUCAUUUGGUCCCAUUUUUUGGGGUACAAAACCCCAUUUUGAGUCCAAAAAUGCCAUUUUUGGGUCAUUCGUUCCCAUUUUUUUUUCGCACCGAAUCCCAUUUUGGGUCCAAAAAUG